CGGUUUGUGGUAAUUUGUUACAGCAGUCUUCGGAGACUAAGACACCUCCCAGGAUGUUCACCUGAUCAGAGCUCGCAUUCUAGAAUCAUUCUUCGUUGCACCUCACCAAAGCUCAACUCUGGUGCUGUGGUGAUAUUCCAGAAGGAGCCAGCUCGGUGACUGGCCAUGCCAUCAGGAAAAGAUAAAAUGUAUCCGCAAGAUCAUCGCAGAUUAACUGCAAGUUACUCUGAUAUGAACAGGAAUUGGUCUCAGGGGCAACUGUCACACGUGCCUGUGGCAGCAGGGCCAACGUAGGAGCCAGCAUCGCACCUCCUCCGCUCUGCAGGUCUCAGCUCGCUCCAAGAGAGGAAGGACGCGCAGUAGGGGUAUG